GAAGAGCGCUGGCGGCGUGCCUAAUACAUGCAAGUCGAGCGAACAGACGAGGAGCUUGCUCCUCUGACGUUAGCGGCGGACGGGUGAGUAACACGUGGAUAACCUACCUAUAAGACUGGGAUAACUUCGGGAAACCGGAGCUAAUACCGGAUAAUAUAUUGAACCGCAUGGUUCAAUAGUGAAAGACGGUUUUGCUGUCACUUAUAGAUGGAUCCGCGCCGCAUUAGCUAGUUGGUAAGGUAACGGCUUACCAAGGCAACGAUGCGUAGCCGACCUGAGAGGGUGAUCGGCCACACUGGAACUGAGACACGGUCCAGACUCCUACGGGAGGCAGCAGUAGGGAAUCUUCCGCAAUGGGCGAAAGCCUGACGGAGCAACGCCGCGUGAGUGAUGAAGGUCUUCGGAUCGUAAAACUCUGUUAUUAGGGAAGAACAAAUGUGUAAGUAACUAUGCACGUCUUGACGGUACCUAAUCAGAAAGCCACGGCUAACUACGUG
rnacentral:rRNA from 1 species